CGGGGCGAUGCCGGGCGCUCGCCGGGCGGCAGCAGCUGCGGGGUGGGCUUCACCUUGGCGGUGGCGUGAGGGGCCGCCGGGCCUUGUGGGGACGAGGGUCGUGCCUUGCCGGGGGUCUGCGGCGGUGUCAGCUGCCCGGCGGAGGCCGGGAAGGGCUGCCGGGGCUUGCCGGGCACCGGGGGCACGCUGGCGCGUUUCACAGGGUGGCCGUGCCGGGGCGGGCGGCUCUCCUUGGGCGGCGCAGGGGGGCUCUCCCCGGCCCCCUCCGCCAGGUACUCCUGGCUCUUGGAGAUGGCGGCGGCGGGGGCGCCCCGCGGGCCGUCCCCCAGCAGCUCCUGCGAGCUGCUCAUCAGCCGGGCGCGUCCGCCCAGCCCCGGCGGCGAGCGGUAACCGGGGGCCGCAGGGUUCGUCGCCUUCUCGGGGGGCUCCUCGGGACCUUCCCCUGUCAUGGCCACCUGCAGCUCGCUGCUGAGCUCGCUGUCCUGGAAGGUGGUCAUCUUGGGCGACUGGCACUCAGGCGGCUCUGGCGGGGGCGACUCGAUGGCGAGCACCUCUGGGCUCGGCCCCGACACCUUCCUCUUCAGCGUGCCCGGCUCGUACUUGCCCAGCUCGGCGCGCUGCAGUUCCGCCAGCUUCUUCACCGCCAGCAUCAGCUUCUUCUGGUGGCCUGUGGGCGGCACAUGCCGUCAGUGUCACCGCCGAGGCCGCCGCAGCCAGCGCCGCGCACGGGGCCUUACCCAGCUUGGUGAUGCCGAUCUCCUGCAGGUCCUCCCAGGUGAUGUCGGUGAUGAAGUCGAUGUUCUCGUAGCCGUUCUCCACCAGCACCUUGUAGUACUGGGACAGGCCGAUCAUGGAGAGCCACAGCGCCAGCCACUCGGGGAUGUUGAGGUUGUUGAUCUCGGAGGCGAUCUUCUUCCUGUGCCCCGGCUUGGUGACCCCGAUGGCCGUGAGGUCCUGGGGCAGAGAGGGGGAUCAGUGCCACCCUGCUCCGGCCGUGCCUCCCUCCCACCGCCCCCGGCCCCACCUCCGGCGUCAUGCGGCUGAUGGUGGUGAUGUCGUAGCCGGCGUUGAUGAAGUUGGGAGCGUAGAGCUGCAGCUGGAACUUGCAGAGCCACUGGUACACGGUCUCCGAGCUCUGGGGUGAGAGGGGACACAGGGAUGGGGGCCGCUCCGGGGAUGGGGACCCGCCACUCCUGCCCAGGUCCCCCAGGCUGUACCCACCACAGCUCCUCGCUCACCUUCCCCUCUGAUGGCGGCUCCAUCUUCUUCAGCUGGGGCUCGGCGGGGGGCUGGGGGGCGUACGGGGAGCUGGCCACGCUCUGCGACCGCGACGAACCUGCCGGAGGGGCAGCGGUCAGCGCGGCCGGGGCUGCCCAGCCCCGCGCUCUGGCCAAGUGGAAGGGAGAG
rnacentral:lncRNA from 1 species